AUUGAACGCUGGCGGCAGGCCUAACACAUGCAAGUCGAGCGGAUGAAGGGAGCUUGCUCCUGGAUUCAGCGGCGGACGGGUGAGUAAUGCCUAGGAAUCUGCCUGGUAGUGGGGGAUAACGUCCGGAAACGGGCGCUAAUACCGCAUACGUCCUGAGGGAGAAAGUGGGGGAUCUUCGGACCUCACGCUAUCAGAUGAGCCUAGGUCGGAUUAGCUAGUUGGUGGGGUAAAGGCCUACCAAGGCGACGAUCCGUAACUGGUCUGAGAGGAUGAUCAGUCACACUGGAGCUGAGACACGGUCCGGACUCCUACGGGAGGCAGCAGUGGGGAAUAUUGGACAAUGGGCGAAAGCCUGAUCCAGCCAUGCCGCGUGUGUGAAGAAGGUCUUCGGAUUGUAAAGCACUUUAAGUUGGGAGGAAGGGCAGUAAGUUAAUACCUUGCUGUUUUGACGUUACCAACAGAAUAAGCACCGGCUAACUUCGU
rnacentral:rRNA from 1 species